GCCGGGCAUGAUGGUGCUUGCCUGUAAUCCCAGUGGCUCAGGAGGCUGAGGCAGGAGGAUCAUGAGUUCAAAGCCAACCUCAGCAAAAGUGAGGCACUAAGAAACUCAGUGAGACCCUGUCUCUA
rnacentral:sRNA from 1 species